GUUCUGAAAAACCCUGUGGGUGGUACUAUGUGUGGAAAACCUGCAUAAAAGAAGGCCCUUUGGUGCCAAGUAAAACAGUUCUUCUUCACCCUCAAUCUAGAGUCCUGUCUCUUAUUGGGGGAAUUGCUAUAUCACUACAAGGGAUUGCUAUGCUCUGCAUGCUCCCUUGGAUAAUCACUUCUAAGCUCUUUUAAGAGCUUGUUCCUGUCUUGCUAUCGGAAGGAGUCUACGGUGGUUAUGG